rnacentral:lncRNA from 1 species
CUGGAGUGCAGUGGUCUGAUCUCAGCUCACUGCAAUCUCUGCCUCCCGGGUUCAAGUGAUUCUCCUGCCUCAGACUCCUGAGUAGCUGGGGUUACAGGUGUCUGCCACCGCACCUGGCUAAUUUUUGUAUUUUUAGUAGAGAUGGGGUUUCACCAUGUUGGCUAGGCUGGUCUCGAACUCCUGACCUCGUGAUCCACCCGCCUUGGCCUCCCAACGUGCUGAGAUUACAGGCGUGAGCUACCGUGCCCGGCCCACUGUUGCUAUUUUAAAGUGUCCCUGUGAAGUCUUGAUGCAUACAUGCACACACAUGCACCCACACACGCCUACACAGCCAUGUGUGCACAUGACACAGGGUCGCAGUCUCACACACCACACUCCUACACAGCCACAUGUGCACAUGACACAGGGUCCCAGUCACACACACGCCACACUCCUACACAGCCACGUGUGCACAUGACACAGGGUCCCAGUCACACACACACCACACUCCUACACAGCCACGUGUACACAUGACACAGGGUCCCAGUCACACACAUGCCACACUCCUACACAGCCACGUGUACACAUGACACAGGGUCCCAGUCACACACAUGCCACACUCCUACACAGCCACGUGUGCACGACACAGGGUCGCAGUCUCACACACCACACACCUACACAGCCAUGUGUGCACAUGACACAGGGUCACAGUCUCACAAGCCACACUCCAAAUGCCACACUCUCACCACACAUCCACACACAUUCUUAUUUGUUUCAAACGAAACCUGGAUUAAGUCACUCGGUUUCACUUUCCAGCUUUCCUCAUUGGCCGUCAUGCCUUGGAUCAUUAAGGACACUUUGGAACGGAGCUUUGCUAUUCUCUGAAGAUACACAAAAUCCUCCACUGCUCACGUCAUAAUCUAUUUACCAACUGUGGAAAAUUCCGCGGUGCCUGUGGUUUUUAAAGUGAUGCUGAAGCGAGCACCUUUGUGCAUAUGUCUUGAUCCACGCCUGAUUUUAAAAUUUCAGAUAAAAUCCUAGAAGUGAAAUGGCUGGAGAGAGAGUUACAGCAGAGCCAGGUUCUCCGUCCUGCGCGGUUUCUAAGUGAAAUGGCUGGAGAGAGAGUCACAGCAGAGCCAGGGGCUCCAUCCUGCGCGGUUUCUGCAUUUGGUGUUGAGUUGUCCUUUCUGCAUCGGAAUUCUGACUCCUGAAAUCACAUUUCUCACCGUGUCUAGGUCAUACUUUCAAUAAUCUUUCAAUAACCUUUCUGCUGCUUUUUUUUUUGGAGACGGAGUCUUGCUCUGUCGCCCAGGCUGGAGUGCAAUGCAAUGGCGUGAUCUUGGCUCACUGCAACCUCUGCCUCCCAGGUUCAAGCGAUUCUCUUCCCUCCUCCUCCCGAGUAGCUGGGAUUACAGGCACACGCCACCACGCCCGGCUAAUUUUUUUCGUAUUUUUAGUAGAGACAGGGUUUCACCAUGUUGGCCAGGCUGGUCUCAAAGUCCUGACCUCAGGUGAUCUGCCCGCCUCAGCCUCCCAAAGUGUUGGGAUUACAGGCGUGCGCCACCAUGCCCAGCUAAUUUUUGUAUUUUGUGUUUUGGUAGAGACAGGGUUUCACCAUGUUGGCCAGGCUGGUCUCAAACUCCUGACCUCAAGUGAUUCACCCACCUCAGCCUCCCAAAGUGUUGGGAUUACAAGGGUGCGCCACCGCGCCCGGCCCCUGCUUCUCAUUUUAGAAUACAUUCACUGCUACUUCCUCUUCACUCAUUAUUACUUUAUACCCGGCAUUUACAUAUAAAAUUCCAUCUGGAUUUGAGGGUGCUGUCCUCAGUGCCCUUUCCCCGGGACAGAACGCUGCCUGGGCUGCACCCCCUGCCAGAGGGUUCUUGGCAGAGCCCUUUGGUGC